rnacentral:rRNA from 1 species
AGUGAACGCUGGCGGUAGGCCUAACACAUGCAAGUCGAACGGCAGCACAGUAAGAGCUUGCUCUUACGGGUGGCGAGUGGCGGACGGGUGAGGAAUACAUCGGAAUCUACUUUUUCGUGGGGGAUAACGUAGGGAAACUUACGCUAAUACCGCAUACGACCUACGGGUGAAAGCAGGGGAUCUUCGGACCUUGCGCGACUGAAUGAGCCGAUGUCGGAUUAGCUAGUUGGCGGGGUAAAGGCCCACCAAGGCGACGAUCCGUAGCUGGUCUGAGAGGAUGAUCAGCCACACUGGAACUGAGACACGGUCCAGACUCCUACGGGAGGCAGCAGUGGGGAAUAUUGGACAAAGGGCGCAAGCCUGAUCCAGCCAUACCGCGUGGGUGAAGAAGGCCCUCGGGUUGUAAAGCCCUUUUGUUGGGAAAGAAAAGCAGAAGGUUAAUACCCCGCUGUUCUGACGGUACCCAAAGAAUAAGCACCGGCUAACUUCGUG